rnacentral:rRNA from 1 species
UACGAAGGGGGCUAGCGUUGCUCGGAAUCACUGGGCUUAAAGCGCGUGUAGGCGGCCCGGCGCGUCGGAUGCUGAAAUCCCCCGGCUCAACCGGGGAAGGGGCGCCGAUACGGCCGGGCUGGAGGGGGGUAGGGGGCGCUGGAACUCACGGUGGAGCGGUGAAAUGCGUUGAGAUCGUGAGGAACGCCCGCGGCGAAAGCGAGCGCCUGGACCCUUUCUGACGCUGAGACGCGAAAGCCAGGGGAGCAAACGGG